AAAAGGUAAGGGCUUAUGGCUGAUGCUUGGUGUAAUCCGAAGAUUAUCCUCACCAAAGAAAGUUUUUUGACGAUUUUUAUUUGAUUAAUUAUAUUUGAGAACUUAUAUUGUCGAGAAAUGUUGAAAUUUUUAACUUCUAUUUUUGAUACUACCUUGCUUCUACAAAAAAUAGCAUGUUGUGCUGGCAUAAUUGCAAAGCUAAUGGCCAUGUAUAAUCUAUAUAAUCAACAAGAAUAAAGACAUAAUACAAGUUUAUGUGGUUCAACUCAACCCUGCUUACAUCAAUGGAGAGAGAAAUAAUUCUUCGCUAUAAGAUAAUUAACAUCUAAAAGGAAUAAUUUUAUAAUUUGCACCCAAAAGCUAAUCUCAUAACCUUGUACAUCCACUAUUAUAGAACCCAAAAUACGUCUCUCACCCUCUUGUAUCAUGUUGGGCUAAGUUACUUCCAAAGCCAAAGCCAUCAAGUCUCUAGAAUACAACCUUACUUAUUGAAAAUUUAUAUUUAGUCAUGAAGUCAUAUCCCUAAUAGUAGUAAUAUUUAUAGAUAGGAAUUCUAGCCCAAUAGGAAUUUGAGACACAUUUUAACAAUUGCUUUUGUCUAAUCCAUAUUGACUUUUAAUAAUAGUCGUCCUUAAAAUGGAAUCUCAUCAAUU
rnacentral:misc_RNA from 1 species